GUAAAAAUGAAGCAGAGAUGGUAGUGAUGCUGGGGUUCUUGUUCACAGAGUCGAAGAAUGAACUUCGUGAACACUCAAGGGAAAUCUCAAUCAAGAUCCCAGAAGGGUAGAGGGAAAAUUAUUUUUCCUCCCCCACAUACUUCACACUGUUGUCUGCAUAGCCUGAGAAAAUUCAAGCUGAAGCUAAUUUACCACUUGCAAACAGGUACCCAUACCGUAGCCACAACUGCUGCCUCCUGUGUCAGUUCCAGGGAGCCACACCUCCUGGCCUCCCCUGACCUCCACCAUUCCUCAGGGCCCCGAAGGAAAUCUACUGCCCAGCUCACUCCACUUUUCUCCUCUGCUUUACUCUCCAGGAUCCACUAAAUAAAAAGUGUCGAACUUUCAGUUUCCUUUCAAAACAUUGUAUGGUUCUUGUUUAUUUUUCUUCAAAAAGCUAGCAAGCUAAAGGCAGUAUAGCACAGAGAAGACAAGUAGUGACUCUAUAGCGUCUUACUACGCUGAUGGACAGUGACUGUAAUGGGGUUGGGGGGGAACUUGAUAAUAUGGGUGAAUGUUGAAACCACAAUGUUGCUCAUGUGAAACCUUCAUAAGAUUGUAUAUCAAUGAUAUCUUAAUUAAAAAAUAAAAUAAAGCAAGAAGCUACAUGUGACCCCUGCCUCUGAAGCAGCUGAUGAUUAUUAGGAUUGCUGCACAGUCCUGGUUCAGACAUGUAAUUCUAGAAAGGGUCUUAGCUCGGGAUGACUCUGGAUUUGGUUGGGAUGAGGGGACUCCUAAAAUGCAUCUAAUUAUUCCAAUCUUGGGUGGCUACUCCACUGAUCAGGUGGAGAAAAACUUUCAGUUUAGUCCUGGAUAACCUUUUCAUGAUUGUUUGAGCUUGAACAGAUCUUAUAUGAAAACCAGUAGUGGGGAUAGGACCUGCUUCCAUCUAGUAAUGUUUGUAAAAGCCCUUUGAGGACUAACAAGAAAGAUGUCUUUUUUUCAAAAUCCAGAAUCCUAACAACUAUUAGAUAAAAAAGUGAAUCUUGACUGUCUCCUAAUCUGCUUUAAAAUUCACAUUCCCAAUGUUCCAUCUAGCAUUUCCAGUUUAAUGCUGAAUUAACUUGGAAUUAAGCAUGACUGAUGUUUUUCUGUAGAGAAAUUGGGCAUCCUACCUGAAAAUUUCUAACAGCCAGAUUAUUCUGUAGUAUUAUUAUAAGAAUAAUUAGAGUUGCCAGAUGUAGCAAUAAAAAUACAGAGUUCCUAUAUUCUGAAAUUCAAGUUUAACGAGGCAUCCUAUCUUUAGCCAGUAACCUUAAAUGACAGAAAGACUGAAAAAAACAGAGAAAAAAUUAAAAAUUAAAAUGUUGACAGCUACAUAAAACAAAGGCAGGGCAGGCACUGGUAUUAGAUUCUUUGAGAUCAGUGCAGGCACAGACAUACUGGACCCUGAUUCUACUAAUCAAAGAUAUCCAAAUAGAACCAGAGAAAUUGGUUUUACUAUAGACAACAAAUAAAGGUUUAACGUCUAUAAUUAACAUAAAGCACUUAAAUUACAAGGAAAUACCAAUGACCUACUAGAAAAAUUGGAAAAGGCUAUGAAAUAAAGUUCAUAGAAAACCAAGUCCAAAUGACUAAGAAACACAAAGUAAAUAGGAAGAUGCAUAAAAGUAAUUGAGAUGUUGUCAUAUCCAUGAGGAUGAUACUCUCAAAUGCCCAACUUGAAAAGUGACAGCAUUUUUUUCCAUCUAAAAUGGACCACUGUUUUACACUAUACAUAGAAAUUAGCUAAAAAUGGAUUAUGGACUUGAAUAUAAGAUCUGAAACCAUAAAAUUCCCAGAAGAAAACCUAGGCAGUAAGCUUUGACAUCAGUCUUGGUGAUGAUUUUUUGGAUCUGACUCCAAAAACAAAGGCAACAAAAUCAAAAACAAACAAGUGGGACUACAUCAAGCUAAAAACUCUGGACAGAAAAGGCAAUCAUCAAUAAGAUGAAAAGGCAAUCUAUUUCCUAUGAAAAGGAAUGGGAGAAUACAUUUUUAAGUCAUAUACCUGUUAAGAGGUUAAUAUCCAAAAUAUAUCAAGAAUUUAUACAACUCAAUAGCAAAAAAAAAAAUCCAAUGAAAAAACAGGCAGAAGAUAUGAAUAGAUAUAUUUCUGAAGAAGAUAUGCAAAUGCCCAACAGGUAUGUGAAAAGAUGUUCAACAUCACUAAUCAUCAGGGAAAUGCAAGUCAAAACCGCAGCGAGAUAUUACCUCCUACCUAUUAGAAUGUCUAUCAUCAAAAACCGAGAAAUAAAAAGUGUGG